rnacentral:lncRNA from 1 species
CUUUUGCAGCCUCGUCAGCACCUGUCACAUGCACAAUCAACUUUGCGGAAAUUACGGGCAAUCUGUCGAAGAUUUCUAGUGAAGCAGAAAGCACGUGAAUCUUACUGAUCAAUCACCGCUCUCCAUAUGCACCAUCAACUCCUCGGGUACCACAUAUAACUUUGUCAAAGAUCUCUAACAAAGUUUAGGCACGAGAAUUUCGA